rnacentral:rRNA from 1 species
AGAGUUUGAUCCUGGCUCANNACGAACGCUGGCGGCGUGGAUUAGGCAUGCAAGUCGAACGAGAAUCUGAGAGUCCAAGUUUUCGGACAAGGACUUUUGGAGGACAGUGGCGGAAGGGUGAGUACAACAUGGAUAAUCUACCUUCAAGUUGGGUAUAGCUCCUCGAAAGGGGAGAUAAUCCCGAAUGUGGUGAUCCGGCGCAUGUCGGAGAAUCCAAAGGCGGGGACCGCAAGGCCUGUCGCUUGAAGAUGAGUCCGUGCACUAUCAGCUUGUUGGCGGGGUAACGGCCCACCAAGGCUAUGACGGUUAGCUGGUCUGAGAGGAUGGUCAGCCACACUGGGACUGAGAUACUGCCCAGACUCCUACGGGAGGCUGCAGUCGAGAAUCAUUCGCAAUGGGCGAAAGCCUGACGGUGCGACGUCGCGUGGAGGAUGAAGGUCUUCGGAUUGUAAACUCCUUUUAUAUGGGAAGAAUAGAUGACUGUACCAUAUGAAUAAGGACCUGCUAACUACGUGCCAGAAGCAUCGGUGAUGCGUAGGGUCCGAACGUUAUCCGGAUUUAUUGGGUGUAUAGAGAUGCGUAGGCGGUUUGAUAAGUCUUGAGUUAAAGACCUCGGCUCAACUGAGGAAAAGCUUUCGAUACUAUCAGACUUGAGGCAUAGAGGGGUGAACGGAAUUCCGAGUGGAGUGGUGAAAUACGUUGAUAUUCGGAGGAACAUCAGUGGCGAAGGCGGUUCACUGGCUAUUGCCUGACGCUCAGGCUCGAAAGCGUGGGUAGCAAAACGGAUUAGAUACCCGUGUAGUCCACGCUGUAAACUAUGGAUGCUAGGUGUUCGGUACAACUGGUUUUAAUCUUCGGAUUUUAAGCGGGAGUGCUGAGUGCCGCAGCUAACGCGUUAAGCAUCCCACCUGGGAAGUACGGCCGCAAGGCUAAAAC